GAAAAACGGGCAAAGAAUCUUGGUGGAGAGUCUCCUGAUCGGGCAACGUUGUUCAUAACGACCCAUCGGAAGAAAGAUGGGAGUGUUGUGAACGAAGAGUCGGCUCAUGUUAUUGAAAUGAUCGAGGAGUUACGGGCAACUCAGACUGCUGAGUCCUCUCAGAGUAGCACUGCCCGAGACGAUCUCUUAUCCCAGAUAUUGGGACCAGAGCAUCCGGGCCGGGUUCGCAUGAUGGGGUUAGGUCCCACAGCUUCCACGUUAUGGGGCACAAGAAAUACCAUUGCAGAACUCAGGAGGGAGACUGAUGAGUUGCGACGACACAUGAAUGAGCGGGUAGAGCAACUAGUGGAGGAGCGGAUGAAAGAACAGAUGGCUAAGCAUCUAGAGUAAAUGGAGCAACGGAUGACAGAGCGAAUAACGGAGCAGAUGGAGCAUCGGAUAACAGAGCGAAUAACAGAGCAGAUGAUGGCACGAAUGAGAGAUACUAUGAACUCAUUGGCUGCAACAGACCAAACUUCGGGCAAUGUACUAAAUGUAGAGGCUGACUCAGUAUCCACUCCUAGGGAUAGACCUGAGGCUGAGGGACCUCAGUCGAAGGUUCCGAAGAAUCAAUAGGUCAAGUCGUAUUUAUGUGUAUUUAUGUGUUUGACAUGCAAAAGAAUCCAAGGGCUGUCUUAAAAUGAGGGUUGCAGAUUGGAAAAAGGUGGGCCAUACUUUUUUGCUUCAUGCUUUGUUU